CAGUCGCCGCGGGAAUACGGAGGGUGCGAGCGUUAAUCGGAAUAACUGGGCGUAAAGGGCACGUAGGCGGUGACUUAAGUGAGGUGUGAAAGCCCCGGGCUUAACCUGGGAAUUGCAUUUCAUACUGGGUCGCUAGAGUACUUUAGGGAGGGGUAGAAUUCCACGUGUAGCGGUGAAAUGCGUAGAGAUGUGGAGGAAUACCGAAGGCGAAGGCAGCCCCUUGGGAAUGUACUGACGCUCAUGUGCGAAAGCGUGGGGAGCAAACAGGAUUAGAUACCCCUGUAGUCCCUGUCUCUUAUAC
rnacentral:rRNA from 1 species